AAAAAAAAGGAGGGGGGAAAAAAUACAUCCUUUAUUUUUUAGGGUCUAUAGGAGCUGCCCACCACCAGGCAGUAUUGAAAGAAUUUCAUCUUAACAAUGAACAGGAAAAAAUUGCAUUGGAAGAAAAACAAGGAUGUUUUUUGAAAUAGCUGGUAAAACACAAGGAAAUAGACAGUAGUUAAGUCGUUUGUUCAUACCAUGUAGGAGAUCUGUGGAAAAAAGAGCAAGACGUAAUCUUUAGAAGGAGAGUUUAUCUGUGAUCCUAGUCAGAGAAGAUGAAGCUGGACUUUCCUGUUCAGAGUACUCCUAGACAUCACCAGAAGUGUCAGGUAGAUGGUGUUCCCCCUAUCAUAAUUGUAUUUUACUAUUCAUUCUUAUCUCCUCGAGGUUGCAAGUCUUCUGGAGUAUUUACUGUCUUGACAGAAUAUACUAACUGCAGC
ensembl:lncRNA